CCAAAAAUUUGGGUAGAUUUGGUGAUUUAAAUCCCUCUUCACUGACCAACAGCAAAAAGUGCUUACAGCAGAGCAGUUGCACGUGAAUGCAACAGCAGGCUUCGGAUUCAAGUUUGUAGCAAUGGACGCAAUGGACACAGAUCUCAGCAUCUCCUCUGAUGGGCUCCUGGUGAAGAGCGGCGUUGAACAAAAGGUGUUUGUCAACAGAAGUCUGACUCUGGAAAACAUCAAAUGUUAUGGUUUUGACAUGGACUACACGAUGGCAAUGUAUAAGUCCCCUGACUACGAGAGCCUGGGCUUUGAGCUGAUAAGAGACAGAAUGGUGUCUAUUGGAUACCCACACGAGCUUCUACGCUACACUUAUGACCCCAGCUUUCCCACACGCGGUUUAGUGAUCGACACCACAUACGGAAACCUUCUGAAGGUGGACUCAAAUGGGAAUAUUUUAGUCUGCAGUCAUGGCUUCCACUUCCUCAAAGGGGCAGACAUUCACAAAUACUACCCCAACAAGUUCAUUCAAAGAGAUGACACCGAACGUUUCUACAUCCUUAACACGCUCUUCAAUCUUUCAGAAACUUAUCUUUACUCCUGCCUUGUGGACUUCUUCACCAGAUGCACCAGAUACACAAACAUCCUGAAAGGUUACCAGCACGGUGACUUGUUUAUGUCCUACAGAAGCAUGUUCCAAGAUGUUCGAGACGCUAUGGACUUCAUUCACGAUACGGGGAUCCUGAAAGAACGAACUCUCAAGAAUUUGGAGAAAUAUGUUGUCAAUGAUCCAAAUCUCCCAGUACUCUUGACUCGAAUUAAAGAGGUGGCCAAGGUCUUCCUCGCCACCAACAGUGACUAUAACUACACAGAGGCCAUUAUGAAAUACCUGCUUGAAAGUAAUGCUAAGUCUGGAAGUCCAAAAAAGUCCUGGCGGAGCUUCUUUGAUCUGAUCGUUGUGGACACCAGAAAGCCACUGUUUUUUGCAGAGGGGACAGUGCUGAGACAAGUGGAUACAGACACAGGAAAGCUUCGGAUCGGGACUUACACAGGUGACCUCCAGCAUGGGACUGUUUACUCAGGAGGAUCUUCUGACAUCGUCUGCGAUCUGCUGGGUGUCAAAGGUAAGGACAUCCUCUACGUCGGCGACCACAUUUUUGGCGACAUCCUCAAAUCUAAGAAACGUCAGGGAUGGAAGACUUUUCUGGUUGUGCCGGAGCUCGCUAAGGAGCUGCAAGUGUGGGAGGAGAAGAAAAAUCUGUUUGAAGAGCUGAAAUGUCUUGACAUCUUCUUAGCUGAGCAAUACAAGCACAUGGACAGCAGCAGUCGAGUGAGUAUCGACAUCGGCACCAUUCAGAUGAGGAUGAAGGAUUUUUCUCCCCCUGUGUUUACAGGUGCUGACCUACAGAAUGGACAUGUCCUAUGGCCAGAUGGGCAGCCUCCUGCGAAGCGGCUCGAGACAGACUCUGUUUGCCAGCCAGCUGAUGCGUUAUGCAGACCUGUACUCGUCCACCUGCAUGAACCUGCUGCAUUACCCCUUCAAUUACCUCUUCAUGGCUCCCCCAGUCCUGAUGCCCCACGAGGCAGUGUCUCAGAACACGGCUGACUUCGCCUCAUCAGAGCUCACUGUCGCCAACAAUAUUAUCACAACGAAGAGAAACUGAGCUGUCCCAGAUGUUUUCGAAGAGAAGACAUGACAAGAUGCUGCAGGGAAGUCUUAUGAUGUGUCAUGUGGACAGUUCUCACUGAUGAAGGUCUUUGCACCUGUGCUUGUAUAAAGGCUUUGAUGCGGACUUGAUGAAACUAACUAACUAUUGUUAUGCCAUUUAACGUUUACUCAAUAAACUUAUAAAGUAUUUUGAAAUUUAGGAUUCAUAACAGACUCAGGGUUACUGUAUAGGAUUGCAAAUUUGUCUUAAUGAAUUACAUGCAGUGGUGCGUAUGCACUGUUAAUCUCAGGUUUGUCUAAUGGUUUUUAAGUUUUAUUUAUUUGUUGUUUGUGCAAUUUCUGUUGACAUUCAAUAAACAAUAUGAUUUGUUUUAAUUAUUUACUGAA